rnacentral:rRNA from 1 species
UACAGAGGUCCCAAGCGUUGUUCGGAUUCAUUGGGCGUAAAGGGUGCGUAGGCGGCGCGGUAAGUCGGGUGUGAAAUCUCGGAGCUUAACUCCGAAACUGCAUUCGAUACUGCCGUGCUUGAGGACUGGAGAGGAGACUGGAAUUUACGGUGUAGCGGUGAAAUGCGUAGAUAUCUGGAGGAACACCGGUGGCGAAGGCGGCAUCCUGGACCGGCAUUGACGCUGAGGCGCGAAAGCGUGGGGAGCAAACAGG